UCGUCUCCGUGUUAUUUGCGGCGCGUUCUUUAAGCGCCGUGAUUGUCAAAGGAGACGUAUAUUAAUUGCCAAUAACUCGUUAUUGUGCGCCAUCAAACGCAUUUUUGCGGGCGUCCAUCUCCAUAUAUUGGCUACAUUU